AGUGAACGCUGGCGGUAGGCCUAACACAUGCAAGUCGAACGGCAGCACAGUAAGAGCUUGCUCUUACGGGUGGCGAGUGGCGGACGGGUGCGGAAUACAUCGGAAUCUACUUUUUCGUGGGGGAUAACGUAGGGAAACUUACGCUAAUACCGCAUACGACCUACGGGUGAAAGCAGGGGAUCUUCGGACCUUGCGCGAUUGAAUGAGCCGAUGUCGGAUUAGCUAGUUGGCGGGGUAAAGGCCCACCAAGGUGACGAUCCGUAGCUGGUCUGAGAGGAUGAUCAGCCACACUGGAACUGAGACACGGUCCAGACUCCUACGGGAGGCAGCAGUGGGGAAUAUUGGACAAUGGGCGCAAGCCUGAUCCAGCCAUACCGCGUGGGUGAAGAAGGCCUUCGGGUUGUAAAGCCCUUUUGUUGGGAAAGAAAAGCAGCAGGUUAAUACCCCGCUGUUCUGACGGUACCCAAAGAAUAAGCACCGGCUAACUUCGUG
rnacentral:rRNA from 1 species